GAAAAAAAAAAAAAGUAGGAAACCAUCUUGCAUAGAAAAAGGGACGACGAAGAAACAAAGUUCUAUCUUAAAAUUCGAUGUAGGGGGUGAAAGCAACCAUCCUUCGUUCACAUUCAAAUCUAUUUAGAUAUGGAUAAAAAUUUGAGUAUCUGACUUGUUAUAACCCGGCCAUUUAGGCUUUAAACCCAGCCAAAAGGCCACAAAAGCCCCCCCCCCCCAAACAAAAAAGAAAAAUCAAACGAAGAAGACUCGCGUAGGGAGUCUUCUUCUUCCUCCCGACUGACUUCUAAUCGAAGUCGGAAAAUGCCUCCCUCCGCCUCUAUUUAAAGAGGAGACCACUUCUCCCUCCUUCCCACUAAGAAAUCCGAGGCAAAACGGUGAGGAUCGUCGGAGUUUUCUCGCAGAAGCCCGUCACCGUGCUCGUCUUGAUGUCUCGCCAGAGACGUCAUCGGAGCUCGAGGUAAGCCCCGGCUUCCCUUCCUCUCUUCUCUCCCUUCCUUUCUGUGCUUGUGUGCGUGAUCGCCGGUGACCGGAGUCGUCGGAUUUUGUUAGGAAAGAUAACCCCUAUUUUUUCUGCUAUUUUUCUCGAUUUUCUGGCACCAGUGGUCACCGCCGAUAGCCGGUUUGGUCCCUCUGAGCCACGGGUUCGUCAUUCUCCUACUGCCUGCCACCGUCGUGCCAGCUGCAGCCCUUGAUCGGCCGAACAAGGGGGGACCACACGGUCUCCUGUUUUUGCCCAAGUGAGCCACGAGAAAAAGAAAAAGAAAAGAAAAAAAAAGGGGAAAAAGAAAAAAUAAAAAUAAUAUAGACUCUCUCUCCUCUCUUUCCCUCUUUUUCUCUCUCUUCUUCUCUCUCUAAUUUCUCUUUCUCUCUCUAGUCUCUCUCUCCACUUGGGCCAUUUGGGCCUUAAACCCAGCCAAAAGCCCACAAAAGCCCUAAAAAAAAAACAUAAUGAAGAAGACUCGCAUAGGGAGUCUUCUUCUUCCUCCCGACCGGUUCCUAAUCGGAGUCGGAAAACACCUCCCUCCGGCUCUAUUUAAAGGGAAGACCACUUCUCCCUUCUUCCCACUAAGAAAUCCUGGGCAAAACGGUGAGGAUCGUCGGAGUUUUCUCAUGGAAGUCCGUCAUCGUGCUCGCCUUGAUUUCUCCCCAGAGACGUCAUCGGAGCUCAAGGUAAGCCCCAGCUUUCCUUCUUCUGUUGUCUCCCUUCCUUUCCAUGCCUGUGUGCGUGAUCGUCGGUGACCAGAGUCUUCAAAUUUUGUUGGGGAAGAUAACCCUAUUUUUUCUGCUAUUUUUCUCGAUUUUUCGGUGCUGGUGGUACCGUCGAUCGCCGAUUUGGUCCCUCCAGGCCAUGAGUUCGUCAUUCUCCUACUGCCAGCCACCAUCAUGCCGGCUACGGCUCUUGAUCGAUCGAACAAGAGUGGGACCACACGGUCCCCUGUUUUUGGCCAAGUGAGCCACGGGAAGAAGGAAGAAAAGAAAAGAAAAAGAAAAGAAAAAAAGAAAGAAAAAAAUAAAAUAUAGACUCUCUCCUCUUUCUUCCUCUUUUUCUCUCUCUAAUUUCUCUUUCUUUCUCUAGUCUCUCUCCACUUUCUCUCUCUACUUUCUCUCUCUAGAUUAUUUCUCUCUCCUAAGAUCUUUUAAAAUUUUGAGAAGAAUGAUGUUGAAUUUAAAUGAUAUUAGUGAUGAA
rnacentral:lncRNA from 1 species